UACGGAGGGGGCUAGCGUUGUUCGGAAUUACUGGGCGUAAAGCGCACGUAGGCGGAUCGUUAAGUCGGGGGUGAAAUCCUGGAGCUCAACUCCAGAACUGCCUUCGAUACUGGCGAUCUUGAGUCCGGAAGAGGUGAGUGGAAUUCCUAGUGUAGAGGUGGAAUUCGUAGAUAUUAGGAAGAACACCAGUGGCGAAGGCGGCUCACUGGUCCGGUACUGACGCUGAGGUGCGAAAGCGUGGGGAGCAAACAGG
rnacentral:rRNA from 1 species